rnacentral:rRNA from 1 species
UGGGGAAUAUUGGACAAUGGGCGAAAGCCUGAUCCAGCAAUGCCGCGUGAGUGAUGAAGGCCUUAGGGUUGUAAAGCUCUUUUACCAGGGAUGAUAAUGACAGUACCUGGAGAAUAAGCUCCGGCUAACUCCGUGCCAGCAGCCGCGGUAAUACGGAGGGAGCUAGCGUUGUUCGGAAUUACUGGGCGUAAAGCGCGCGUAGGCGGUUUAUCAAGUCAGGGGUGAAAUCCCGGGGCUCAACCCCGGAACUGCCCUUGAAACUGGUUCACUAGAAUCCUGGAGAGGCGAGUGGAAUUCCGAGUGUAGAGGUGAAAUUCGUAGAUAUUCGGAAGAACACCUGUGGCGAAGGCGACUCGCUGGACAGGUAUUGACGCUGAGGUGCGAAAGCGUGGGGAGCAAACA